rnacentral:rRNA from 1 species
GUGGGGAAUAUUGGGCAAUGGGCGAAAGCCUGACCCAGCAACGCCGCGUGAGGGAAGAAGGCCUUCGGGUUGUAAACCUCUGUCCUUGGUGACGAAGAAAGUGACGGUAGCCAAGGAGGAAGCCCCGGCUAACUACGUGCCAGCAGCCGCGGUAAUACGUAGGGGGCGAGCGUUGUCCGGAAUUACUGGGCGUAAAGGGUGCGUAGGUGGCCUUUUAAGUUGGAUGUGAAAUACCCGGGCUUAACUUGGGGGGUGCAUCUAAUACUGGGAGGCUAGAGUGCAGGAGAGGGAAGCGGAAUUCCUAGUGUAGCGGUGAAAUGCGUAGAGAUUGGGAGGAACACCAGUGGCGAAGGCGGCUUACUGGACUGUAACUGACGCUGAGGCGCGAAAGUGUGGGGAGCAAACAGGAUUAGAUACCCGAGUAGUCC